GACGAACGCUGGCGGCGCGCCUAACACAUGCAAGUCGAACGAGAGAUGAAGAGCUUGCUCUUCAGAUCGAGUGGCGAACGGGUGAGUAACGCGUGAGGAACCUGCCUCAAAGAGGGGGACAACAGUUGGAAACGACUGCUAAUACCGCAUAAGCCCACAGCUCGGCAUCGAGCAGAGGGAAAAGGAGCAAUCCGCUUUGAGAUGGCCUCGCGUCCGAUUAGCUAGUUGGUGAGGUAACGGCCCACCAAGGCGACGAUCGGUAGCCGGACUGAGAGGUUGAACGGCCACAUUGGGACUGAGACACGGCCCAGACUCCUACGGGAGGCAGCAGUGGGGAAUAUUGCACAAUGGGGGAAACCCUGAUGCAGCGACGCCGCGUGGAGGAAGAAGGUCUUCGGAUUGUAAAACUCCUGUUGUUGAGGAAGAUAAUGACGGUACUCAACAAGGAAGUGACGGCUAACUACGUGCCAGCAGCC
rnacentral:rRNA from 1 species